rnacentral:rRNA from 1 species
AUUGAACGCUGGCGGCAUGCCUUACACAUGCAAGUCGAACGGCAGCGCGGACUUCGGUCUGGCGGCGAGUGGCGAACGGGUGAGUAAUACAUCGGAACGUACCCUGUUGUGGGGGAUAACUAGUCGAAAGAUUAGCUAAUACCGCAUACGACCUGAGGGUGAAAGUGGGGACCGCAAGGCCUCACGCAGCAGGAGCGGCCGAUGUCUGAUUAGCUAGUUGGUGGGGUAAAGGCCCACCAAGGCGACGAUCAGUAGCUGGUCUGAGAGGACGAUCAGCCACACUGGGACUGAGACACGGCCCAGACUCCUACGGGAGGCAGCAGUGGGGAAUUUUGGACAAUGGGGGCAACCCUGAUCCAGCAAUGCCGCGUGUGUGAAGAAGGCCUUCGGGUUGUAAAGCACUUUUGUCCGGAAAGAAAUCGCGCUGGUUAAUACCUGGCGUGGAUGACGGUACCGGAAGAAUAAGCACCGGCUAACUACGUG